CUUAUACUCCCUCCAUCCGGAAUUACUUGUCACCAAAAUAAAAAUAAAUGAAUAUAUCUAGAACUAAAAUAUGUCAAGAAUAAUCCAUUUCUAUGACAAGUAAUAUCGGGUGGAGGGGGUAUUUA
rfam:Hordeum vulgare subsp. vulgare, WGS project CAJW01000000 data, contig: morex_contig_1572087